rnacentral:rRNA from 1 species
CACCGCGGUUAUACGAAAGGCCCGAGUUGAUGGUCACCGGCGUAAAGAGUGAUUAUAGCAUGUUGGAAUAACUAAAGCCAAAGCCCUUCCCGGCUGUCAUACGCACCCGAAGGCAUGAGGCCCCUACACGAAAGUAGCUUUAACCACAAGACCCCUAGAACUCACGACAGCCAAGAUA